UAGCUCAGUGGUAGAGCACUUGCCUUGCAUGCAUGAAGCCGUGGGGUUCGAUUCCUCA
rnacentral:tRNA from 1 species